rnacentral:lncRNA from 1 species
GCAGGGAGGUAUAGAAAAAAAAUUGAGAAUGGAAACCUUCUACAACUUAAAAUUCAAUAGAAGAAUGACAAUAUUAUGUACUUUGUAGCUAUAUAGGAAAUUGCUGGGUUUGAGGAAUUGAGUCCCUGAGACGGGUACCUGGGAGAUGAUGUGGAAUAUCCAAUUGCAGCAGUCCUAUUAUAUCCUGGAAUCAUUUCAUUGCACGACAUAGUAAUCUAUUUGCAUUUCUGUAAGGGAUCGUGAGAACUUAGGGUAUUGACUGGGUGCUUUUGAAUGAAAACUUAAUCUUUGUGCUUAUUUGUAUGGUUGGAUUACAGUAUAAGGAAAGGAAAAUGUCCCAGAAUCUUCUAAGAUGUACUUCAAAGCCAGAGGCUGCUCAUGAUUAAAAAUGCUCUUCUCAUCUUCUAGUUUAUUUUUAUGUAAGUA